CAGGCAUAGCGGUAGCAACACAAAAAGGGGCCUCUGGUUCAGCGUAAUUAGGGGCAGCACUGGCAGACAUGAAGACAGCCCACUCUUGGUGUCCUGCAGAGAGCGUUUCCCUCGUCCAGCAGGACCGGAGAGAUUUGAGUUGACUCUCCCAGGACCUUCACUGUUUGGCCCUCAAACUCAGGACAACUUGUGUUAACGUCCUGCGACAGCUUCCCUAACCUGGAGAGCUGCCAGCAUGUUGAAGACAGAGACGCAGGGGCAGCUAGAUUUCUUCCCAGGCAGCCAUGGGGUGUCCAUAGAAAAAUGUCAGAUUAUUUUUCUGGUUUAAUGGAUGCUAAGAAAAAAAUCUUCCAAUCUUUGGAUAGCCUUGAUAGCUGUGUGAGAACAUUUUAUAAUCAUUUGAAUAUAGUUAGUCUUGGAAUUAGACUUACAUCUUACACAUCCAGUAGACAAUGAGCAUAAACAACUUCUAUUUUAAACUCUUAAUAAUAUUCAACUGUUCUUUAAGUUUUGUUUUGGUUUCCACCAACUCCUCAGGAAAUAUCUGUCUCUUUAGCUUCUAAAUGCUUCACUGUGUUCCCCAGCUAUUUACUAGUUUGGUGCUAGGCAAUUAGGGCUCAUAAGGUUUAUCAGUUUGUUUGUUUUUUACCAAAAAAGACCCCAUAGAGCUGAGGUAAACUGUUGAUAAUCAUCUGUGGGUUUGUCACUAUCGCAACCCCUUUGCUAUCAAGUAUGUUUGUAUAGAAAUACUAAAAAGUAAAACUUUAAUUGUGGGAUGACAAUCUUUUUCCAGAUUCUGCC